ensembl:lncRNA
AAACAAACUCACUCCAGUUCAGCUGCUCUGGCGGAGGAACGGGUCCUGAGAGCCGACCCUUCCAAGGCCCGUGGUGGCAGGUGCUGCUGUCGUCCGUCCUUGGGACUCACGAAUGUCCUUAUUGAAAACAAUCAGAAGCUUCAGAGAUUUUAAAUAAAUAUCACUAAUUUAUUCAAUGGAAUCCUGUAAGUCCUGAGAUGAUCAGUAAACACGGGAAUGAAAUCACCCCAGUUAACCGUUAACUACCUCAAUGGUCUAGUGGCAGACUCGGCUUCCGGUUCUGCGGGGAAAAGAAAUCGUGCUUCCCGGAAGAAAACUCCUCUCUUGCACUUUAAACCAGAGCUCCUAUUUGCAGGGAGAGGCAAGGCAGCAAACUUCUCAGACGUUUCCCGUAGAUUUAAUCUUGAGACAGUCAUCCCCUCUCCCACCAGUGUGGCCUAUAUUACCAGAAGAAGGCUAGAGAGGAGGUGCUGGAAGAAAACCAGUCCCCUUGAAGAAGAUGUCCCUGGGUGGAGGUGGAUGGCCGCCACCGCAUCACAGUCUUCUUUCACACAAAUCCAGGUUCUCGUCCCUGUGUGAAGUUGUGCUGCCUAAGGAAAGGCCUGAGGGGGCUGGAGCACUCUGUGUGUCUCUAGACCUAAACAGAUGACACACUUGUUGGAGGAGGUCAGGGGAAAGCACUGACAGCAGCUUCGAUCCAGAGAUGAAUUUCCCCAUCGAGGCCUCGGGAGGAGACCUCCAGGAGCAUGAAGCGCCUCAGCAGCCAGGCAGAGGGGUCAGCACCCAUCAGAAGGGCCGGAGGAAAUGACCUGAAGACUAACCCACUGUCUUCGGAAGCAGAGUCUCUGUCAGGGCAAGGCUGGAAUCAAAUGUCGGUGGGAACCAACAGAAGAGAAGCAGAGGCAGAGCCAGCCGCCCUGGUCCCAGCAGGCGCCCACGGAGCGGAGCCUGAUGCUAGCCUUGCAGUGCGAUUUUCUUGAGGAGCUUAAGAAAUGCCAGGUGUGUUCAACCCACACCCCAGGAGCCCAGCGGGCCGUCCCGGAACCAAACUACACAACUGGUGACAUCUGGCAUUGGGUGUUCAGACUUGGCCCCUCCUUGGUGACCUUCUCCACUUUCACGGUGACCUUCAUGUGAGAAAGAAUCUGAUGGCAACUCUUUACUCCUUGGAGAGAAAAACAGUUAUCCGUGCGUCUACUCUAUGUGGAGAGUUUAAUGUUUAACCCUUUUCUCAAUAUGGAAAAGAAACACGUCCCUCAUUAAAGAAAUUUCAAAUACUAUUGACCUGGUGGAAGCAUUGAGAAGCGGGGAUGAUAUUAGGUUGUAUGGGCAGCCACCUAACUCGCCUUUGUCCAAACCCAGCUGAGCCGGCAGCUUCUAUUUCUUUGGUGGUUGUUAACGAUGUUACCCCUGGACCCAAAUAUGUGUGUGUGUGUGAGAGAGAGAUUGGCUGGUUGGAGGCAAGGAGUGAGGCAGAAGACCGAAGGGUGAGUGGGGAAGUAUGUCUAAUCCUUCCUCAAACAGGACAGCAAGCUUCUCAAAAAAUAACCCUUACCCUGGACGCUGAGCGUCCAUCAUCAAGGAGUCACUCACCUCCAGGAAAAAGAUGAAGGCCACCUUUGUUCUCUCCACGUCUGCCUCAAUUCCAGCAAUUGCCUUGUACUUGGGAAAUAAGUGCAGAGAAAAAAGUCAAGACUAUCCACAAGACACGUUGACACUGAACAUUUAAACAAUGGAAGCUCUUCUCUCAAGCAAGAAAGCGAACUUGGAACCGAGUUCUUUAAACUGACCACGUGAGAUCAUCAGGUUCACCCAGCGACGCUCUCCCACUGUAACACUUUGCCUUGCUUGCACAGGAUUGAGUGGGUCCAGUACCACAGACGACUGGACCAGAAGCUACUCUGUGCCUUAUAGAUUUCACAUGUUAGAAAGAAGCAGCCACAAUUAAUGGCCCUCAGACAUCUUAAGCAUCACCACCUUGUCCUUUGAGCUAGAACUCUGGACCAAGCUGCUUCCGCGCUGAUUUCGAUCCCCCCAAGUAAUUGGACCCUUUCUGAGAGCCUCGGGAAAUCACUGUUCAAGUUCCUUACAUCCUUCUAGGGGUUAUGUGGAUUUUUUUAUUAGUUCUAAUUCGUAUAGUACUCUGAAAUUUUGAAGCAAUUUGAAGCAUGUUCUAGGUCGUUUAGAACUGAAGGAAUUAGAAAAUAUGAAGUCGGGGAGUGCCCACAGCGUAAGGAGCUGCAGACCGGAGGUGCAGGCUGUUGGGACACCUUGGUGAGGAACCAGAGGGCGAGAUGCUAGGAUUAUAGACUCUGGUUGGAAACGCAAGGAAAAAGCUCAUGACAAAGGAAGAAGAGAUGACAUCACACUGCUGAAAGACCAAGGAAAGCCGUGUCUCUAGGAGGUCCCGCCGGCCCCCCAGCAUCUUCCCCUCUGAGACCCUUUCCCAUCUGUGCUUCCAGGCCCAGGUGGUGCCAGAACUCAAGGCAACGCUCCUACAGGCCUGACCUCCCAACACCAACCUUCAGGACGGGAGCUUCCCACAGCUCCCCAGGUCCGGCUUCGGCGCUAAGUAGAGCUUUAAAUCCUAGGGAUCAGCAGGUAGACGAAGUAAGUAGCAUCUUACAGAAGGGUGUGAAGACGCACAUCAAAAUCUCCUUUCAUCUCGGAAGGAUAACUGAUGUUAUGCCUUCCCCUUCCUGAGAGCUGAGCAGAAGAGUUGGGGCGCUGUGUGUUUCACAGGGGAAAAAAGAGCAACAAUUACAGACUGAAAUAAUCCCAGUAAACAAUUAUUUGAUAAAAUUAUGAAUAUACAUAGAUUUUCAACUCAUGUAUCAUAAGAUUAUUAAAGUGCCGGAAUUUUGAAUAGUAUAACAGACAAUGGAGGAUAUUCAGAAGUUCAGAUAAAUAAAAACAAUCAUUUUCCUUGGCAGUGGCACAUGGUUCAGUAAAUACAUGGGAGCAGGGAGACA